rnacentral:lncRNA from 1 species
AUAUACUAAUUAAUUUGAAUUGAUUCAUAUGCAACUGAGAGGUCAUCCAUUUUAAAACUACUCUAGUUCUGACAUGCUUAACCCUUUUAGUCGCUUAGUUUUAGUUGCUGCUCAAAAAUUCAUAGCUGGAUUAAGAAACUCAUAAGCAUCAGAUAAUGUAAGAAUUGUCUUGCUAAUCUCAAUCGACCUUGUAUAUAGUCAUGCUCCACCCACAAUGGUCGUCAGACAAGGAGCCACACUCUUCCCGCUAUAUAAUUCUGGCUGAGCGGAGACUCAUUUCACACUUUCUGUCAGUGAUUGAUAUUAAUACCAAUUGCAUGUGACGCCUUGCUUGCUAGGGAGUCAUCCAUCCUACUGUAGUUCUAACAUGUUUAACUUUCUUAAUUUCUUGACUCAAGCCACUGCCAAACAUAUUAUAGCUGAGUUAAUAAACUCACAAAUUAACACCCGAUCAUGAUGUGAAACUCGUCUCACUAUCUUCAACCGACCUUUUGGGAAUUAUGUACCAAACAUUCGUACUUUAUAUGUUAAUUU